GGGCCUACGGGACGCAGCAGUGAGGAAUAUUGGUCAAUGGGCGCGAGCCUGAACCAGCCAAGUCGCGUGAGGGAUGACGGCCCUACGGGUUGUAAACCUCUUUUGUCGGGGAGCAAAUUCCGCCACGCGUGGCGGAGUCGAGAGUACCCGAAGAAAAAGCAUCGGCUAACUCCGUGCCAGCAGCCGCGGUAAUACGGAGGAUGCGAGCGUUAUCCGGAUUUAUUGGGUUUAAAGGGGGCGUAGGCGGACUGUCAAGUCAGCGGUAAAAUACGGGGGCUCAACCUCCGCCCGCCGUUGAAACUGAU
rnacentral:rRNA from 1 species